GGGUCGAUACCCGAGUGGCUAAAGGGAACGGACUGUAAAUCCGUUGGUGAUUGCCUACGCUGGUUCGAAUCCAGCUCGGCCCA
rnacentral:tRNA from 1 species